UACGUAGGCAGCAAGCGUUGUUCGGAGUUACUGGGCGUAAAGAGUAUGUAGGCGGUUGGGUAAGUUUGGUGUGAAAUCUCCCGGCUUAACUGGGAGGGUGCGCUAAAGACUGCCUGGCUCGAGUGUGGGAGAGGAAAGCGGAAUUCCUGGUGUAGCGGUGAAAUGCGCAGAUAUCAGGAGGAACACCGGUGGCGAAGGCGGAUCUCUGGGCCUUACCUGACGCUGAGGCGCGAAAGCUAGGGGAGCGAACAGG
rnacentral:rRNA from 1 species